rnacentral:rRNA from 1 species
GACGAACGCUGGCGGCGUGCUUAACACAUGCAAGUCGAACGGUGAAGCGCCUUCCUUUUUGGUGGGUGUGGAUGAGUGGCGAACGGGUGAGUAACACGUGAGUAACCUGCCCCCUUCUUCUGGAUAACCGCAUGAAAGUGUGGCUAAUACGGGAUAUUCUGGGUCUGUCGCAUGGUGGGUCUGGGAAAGAUAUUGUUUCGGUGGGGGAUGGGCUCGCGGCCUAUCAGCUUGUUGGUGGGGUGAUGGCCUACCAAGGCGGUGACGGGUAGCCGGCCUGAGAGGGUGGACGGUCACACGGGGACUGAGACACGGCCCAGACUCCUACGGGGGGCAGCAGUGGGGAAUAUUGCACAAUGGGCGCAAGCCUGAUGCAGCGACGCCGCGUGAGGGAUGGAGGCCUGCGGGUUGUGAACCUCUUUCGCCAGUGAAGCAGGCCUGCCUCGUUUGUGGGUGGGUUGACGGUAGCUGGAUAAGAAGCGCCGGCUAACUACGUG